UGGGGAAUAUUGCGCAAUGGGGGAAACCCUGACGCAGCAACGCCGCGUGAAGGAUGAAGGCUUUCGGGUUGUAAACUUCUUUGAUGAGGGACGAAAGAAAUGACGGUACCUCAAAAACAAGCCACGGCUAACUACGUGCCAGCAGCCGCGGUAAUACGUAGGUGGCGAGCGUUGUCCGGAAUUACUGGGUGUAAAGGGCGUGUAGGCGGGGAUGCAAGUCAGAUGUGAAAUGCCGGAGCUUAACUCCGGAGCUGCAUCUGAAACUGUGUUUCUUGAGUGUCGGAGAGGAAAGCGGAAUUCCCAGUGUAGCGGUGAAAUGCGUAGAUAUUGGGAGGAACACCAGUGGCGAAGGCGGCUUUCUGGACGAUAACUGACGCUGAGGCGCGAAAGCGUGGGGAGCAAACA
rnacentral:rRNA from 1 species